CUAAAACAAAAGCAAUGAGGUGUGUUCUCGUUAUCCCUCCGAUACUUAAGUUAGACAGAGAAUUUAUAUGAAAACGUACACUGAAAUUGUAUGCAAAAACAUACCGGAAUAAUGGACCUAGGUCAUCUAUUUAUAAAGGUAGGUAGUGUACUCCUAGCAGGAUUGAAUUAAUUGGAUGUUCUUAUUCAAGGAGUAUUUUAUUUGUAAUAUAAUUACAUGACCAAUGAUGCUAUUGUUGACAUAAAUUUCUUGUGAAUGUAGGAGUCAUGGAUUGAGGUGUUUGAAUCAUAUUAGAGUCCUUAGAAGGUAAGACUUCUUAUGGGCUUGACAAAAGGGGGGGUUCGGUAUGAAAGGAAUAGUUCGAUGACUCAUUAACCCCGUAUAUCAAAAGGAUGCUCGAGGACACUAUUGACUAGAUCGCGAGGAUACAAGUCGCCACUCCUCGGGUGUAUCACCUCGAGGACUAUGUGUCCCAAUAUGUGAUAAGCAAGACCCUGUGAAUCCUUGGGAGAAUCAUCUCGGGAGGUUGUCAAAAGUAACUACAUCAAUACCCUUAUUUACAGCUUGUUUGGGAGUGAUUUUUUGGCUCAAAAAUUUGAAUUUUUGACCGUUAUUUCACUAUUACAG
rnacentral:lncRNA from 1 species